ensembl:lincRNA
UUGGAAUCCUAAUCCCUUCAGGAAGGAAGUUUUUCCCUGGAUGCCACACCAAACCUAAAUGGCAGAAACAGUUCCUGGGAUUAGGUGCAGGUUGUAAUGUAACGGGAAAGAACCCUGGAAAAGUGACCUGUGUUUCGAUGUGAAAAUUUAAAGGCUUCAGGCAAGAUGCUUUGGUGAUUUGGCCUCGGUCUCCUCAACACAGAAUGAAAGGGAUGAACCGAACAAGGCCUUUUAAGCUCGAGAGGGUCUGAGGAGAGAACACGCUAUCUGUAAGUUUCACGUCGCCUGAAACUUAGAGGAGACACCUGUGCCACCGCACAAACGUUGCUAGGGAAAUAGCAGACGGAAUGCUUCCGAGUAGCCAGUCGGUGUGCACGCUCCCCCGCCCCACCACCAGAGGGCGGUGUGACUGGCAAAUGAAGUGCAGAAGACGCAUCUGCCGUGGAGGUUGCCGGGGACAGCGGCUGAUGAGGCCUUCUCAUGGGACAGGACACAGACGCCAUUUAAGAAGCUUGAGAUCCACGUGGACUGGGGCCAACGCUGUUGAGGUGGUUCUGUGCAGAGUCAUCUGGAAGGAGAGACUCUGUGGCCCACGGGGACCUGCUUCACCAAUGCUGCAAUAGUCUAACCUAGAACUACGAGAUCUUUGGCUACCAUGAUUCCUCCUUCAUUGCCAAUCUGACCACCCACCUCCCCUGGAUAAAACGGGAUUAAAGAAACUUUGAAGAAACGAGAUUCGGCUGCAGAACAGCAGCUGUCAGACCCUCUGUCCUCUCUUGAGUGCUCUGAGCGGUUCGUGGACCCCACUUCCCCGGCAGCAGAUGGUGGAGAGAAAUCAGUGAGGUUUUUGGGAGGCACAAUUCUGCCUCGGUGCGUUUACUCCUCUUCUUCAUUUUCCUUUUCCUUUCCUCUCUUGCCCUCACUUCCAUAAACUCACAGUACAAUAUCUUUUCUUUACAUUUGUAUAGUUCUUUAAUAUUUGAAACAUAAUUUCACUGGUACUUUUUGAUUUGCACAUCCUCAUAGCAGUCCUAUGAUAGAUAAUAAAACUUUAUUUUACGGAAGUUGAAAAGAUUGAGAAAUUCAAGUUCUCAUUACAUUCCCAAGUCAUGGUAUACUUUUGGGUUUUUUGUUUGCUUGUUUUUUGAGACAGUCUCACUCUGUCACCCAGGCUGCAGUGCAGUGGUGCAAUCAUAGCUCACUGCAACCUUGACCUCCCUGGCUCGAGGGAUCCUCCCGCUUCAGCCUCCCAAGUAACUGGGACUACAGGUGCUCGCGGCUAUGCCCGGCUAAUUCGAAAAAAAAAUUUGCAGAAAUGGGGGUCUCACUGUGUUGCCCAGGCUUGUCUCAAACUCCUGGACUCAAGUUUUCCUCCCACUUCAGCCUCCCAAAGUGCUGGGAUUACAGGUGAGAGCCAUUGCAAACAGCCUAACAGGGCAUACUUUUAAAUAAACUUCUGUCUGACUAGAAGUUAGUUUUACCUUCACUGUGCAGGGGACAUACGCUUAGGGGCUUAGCAUUUUUCUAUUUCGGGGGAUUUUCCUAUUUUCCUGUAUAUUUGUGUGAUGUAGUGCUUGCCUACUUGACUGGGGCAGGGAGGACACACAGAGAGGGACGGAUGCAUGUCAUGCAUGUUUCUCCAACACAUGCAUCUGCGACUGGACGAGGUGAGGGGUGAGACAGUGGCUUUCAAGGUCAAGGGUUUCACCAUUUGGCCAGGCUGGCCUCGAACUCCUGACCUCAAGUGAUCCACUUGCCUCGGUAUCCCACAGUGCUUGGAUUACAGACGUGAGCCACCACGCCUGGCAGCCUGUGCUAUUUCUGAGCUGGUUUUGAUUGGUUGAUUUUUCUCCUUAUUAUGGGUCAUGUUUUCCUACUUCUUUACCUGCUUGGUCAUUUUUGAUUGGAUGCCACACAUUGUACAUUUUACCUUGUGUAUUUCUGUAAAUUUUUUUUUUUAUUUUUUUUUUUUUUAUGACAUACAGGUAAUUUAUUUGGAAGCAGAUCGCUCCAUUUGGAUCUGAUGUUUGAGCUUUUGUAGGCAGGACCAGAUCAAUGUUUAGCUGGAGGCUAAUUUUACCCCACUUUGGAGACAUACCCUUUCUGAGGACUCCCUCUGAUUCCCCAUGAACUUUGAUUUUUUUUCCCCCCACUUUGGCUGCUGGUAAUAGGAACUGUUUCUGGCUCUGUAGGAGCACCACAUAUUUUUGUUGUUGUUGUUGUUGUUCUCCAAACUUUUCAGAUCAUAGUUUCUCUAAACCUGCCCUCUCAUGCAUAUGCUGAUUAGUGAAAGACUUAAUCCAUUCAUGCCUGAGGUUGCAAUUUUUUGAAUUUUUGCAAUCAGACCUUGGUGAUGACCUUGAAGAGUAGGAUAUAAAUAACUCCCAGAUGUUUAGCAUUCCAAUAAUGGAACACUAGGCAAAAAUAGGUUUUAAGGGGGACCCAGUGCAGAUCCCCAGGGCAUGUGUGCUCUCUCUCUUCCAAAGCUUUCUCCUGCACAGAACCUGCCCCACACAGGCUAACACCUUGGCCUUCUCAGGCUCUCAGCCCCAUCUCCUCAAUUCAGAGAGACCACUGGGCUCCUCCUGGGCUUCCUUCCCUGCAGCACAGCCUGCAAAUUCUCUCCAGGCCAUAACCUAAGGCAAUU